rnacentral:misc_RNA from 1 species
UCUCCGUAGGUGAACCUGCGGAGGGAUCAUUACUGAGUGAGGGCCCUCGUGGUCCGACCUCCAACCCUUUGUCGUCCGACUCUGUUGCCUCGGGGGCGUCCCCGGCGUUCGCGCCAGGGGCCCCCGGCGGUCCACACAACUCUGCAUCUUUGCGUCUGAGUAAACAUUAAAUGAAACAAAACUUUCAACAACGGAUCUCUUGGUUCUGGCAUCGAUGAAGAACGCAGC